ensembl:snRNA U6 U6 spliceosomal RNA
GUGCUCACUUUGGCAGCACAUAUACUAAAAUUGGAAUGAUACAACGAAGAUUAGCAUGGUCUCUGCACAAGGAUGACCUGCAAAUUCAUGAAGCAUUUCAUAUUUUU